rnacentral:rRNA from 1 species
AUGUUAGAACAAAACCUGAAUAUUCUGAGCUGGAACGUCCGUGGCUUGAAUUGUCCUGACCGUCGUACUGCUAUUCAUGAGACCAUCGCUGCUACUCCGUGCCACCUCGUCUGUUUACAAGAGACCAAGCUCGAGCUUGUUGGCCCUUCCAUUGCUGCAUUUCUAGGUGGAUAUAGACUGAAGAGCUUUGCUCAGCGCCCAGCUUUGGGCACCCGUGGGGGCAUCCUUCUUCUUUGGGACGAGAAUUUUGUCUCUGUCCAUGAUGUUAGCAUCGGAGCCUUUUUCCUUUCGGCCAUGGUCACCAUCACCUCUACGAGUUCAUCCUUCAAGCUAACAACUGUUUAUGGCCCGAAGCGAAGCAAUCUGAAAGACACCUUCUUCCAAGAAUUAGUUAGUGAGAAGCUCCCCAUGGUGAUAAGUGGCUGCUCAAUAGUGAUUUCAACCAAAUAUACUGGGCUAGAGACAAGAACCAUGCGAAUGUUGAUCGGAGUCGCAUCGUUCGCUUUUGCAACGCCCUCAAUGCGUGUGAGUUAA